AUAUUAUUGUUGAAUGAAAAAAAAUAAAAAAAGAAGAAGGAUGUGACUACUCUUAAAAUAUGGAAACAAUUUUUAUAUUAUAAAAUACGUAUAAGGGAGAAAGCAGAGAGAGUCCAGGCUGAACAUGGCUGGCAGAAUAAAACAGACCAACAGACAAGAGAUGGGAAAAGCAAGAGCAUAUGACAGGAGACACCAUCCAAGUGAAGAGGCUCAGGCAGAAAACGUUUAGGGAAGGAAUGAGGCAUCCCAUUGUGACAGGAGGGACAUCAAUAAAAACAGAAGAGCAAAACCCAAUGUCAUGCUAA
rnacentral:lncRNA from 1 species